UAGAGAACUUACCUACAGAUAGGGAUAGCAAUCCACUAAGACAUUCAGCCAUUUUAAAAAGGGGACCUUGGUGGUACAUCUUUUUAUAUGAAUUUUAGGGAGUUCAUAGACAUUGAGAAGACUUGGGUAGAUGACUUAAUAAUGUUCUACGAAUUUCAGUUUCCGUUCCUUUCGUGUGGAGUUCAGCCUCAAAAUCCACGUGUCUCAGAAUCUGAUAACGAUGUGAUUUAUCCCGUACGUGAAGAUUUGUAGAAGUCGACAAUAUCAUAAGUUGUGAUUUACAAGAAAGUGAUUUAGGAUUCUAUCAGAUUUACUAAAGCAUUUGGUAAUAUAAUCAUCUUAUUUAAUGGUUGAAUACAAACAAAGAAGACUUAAUAUGUUAAAAGUAAAUUGUUUCAAAGGAUAUUGUGUAGUUUUAUUGUUAAAACAAACAACCUUAGAGGGGUGAGGGCAGCUGGAGUGUCAUACACAGCGACGUCCUGUUUAUCAAGGGAUAUACGUAGGUUGGGACCACAUCCUCGUGAACCAGUGAGGGCUGUGUCUUGCUGCUGGUAACUCCUGCUCUCGUCCUCACUCCCGGCAAAUGCACUAUCCCUCACAGAUUUCUUCAGAAGCACUUCGCACUGGAACAUAUGAUAUAUCCACUAUUUGAGUGUCAUAAUUACAGUGAAUAUCGAAAUUUGUUUCAGUGGCGGUAUCCAGUGAGCAACAAUUGUGGUGAAAGAGGAUUGUUGAUGAAGCGAAGCAAGAGAAGUGUUCUCUGGCCAAACUGAUUCACUCGCUAAUGGCAACACACAGCAAGUGACCAUCAACAUUUAAGAUCAUUUGACUAGGCUGCUGUUCUUGAUCCAGAUCCUCAUUGACUCCUAGACAAUCUCCUAAGAUAUCCAACUUCUUCAGGCAAACACCUUACACGUAGCCCCGUCCCCAUCAUCAUGACGAGUGAAGAUAACGAUGACAAGGGCAGUGCUCCGGACUGGGCCAUCGUGCUGACUGCCGUAACAGCUGUCAUCAUCGCCAUACUGGGAUUUUUUGGUAACCUGCUGACCAUCCUGGCACUACCGUACACUAGACGGCUGCGUCACUCCGCGACCUACCUAGUGGUGAACUUGGCGGUGGCUGAAGGCAUCUUUUGCGUCACCAUUCUGCCUAUCUCGGCCGCCCACCUCUUCACCCUGUACAUGACUAGCGGCAUGCGUCCUCUGUUUGACACUCAGGGCUGCAACGUAUUUGUCUUCCUACGUUACGUCAACAUCCAGGCGGAGCUUCUCUCUAUAGCCGCCAUCGCUGUCAACAGGUGUGUGUUGAUCGCUGUGCCCAAGAAGUACCCACAGGUGUUCUCCGGGCCUAAGACAGCAAUCCUUAUCGCCGCUAUUUGGCUUUGUUCCGGAUUCCUCAUGUUAAUACCAUUGUUGAAGAUCUACGGCGAGUUCACGUAUAACCACAACACGGACGAGUGUGACUUCUCCGACAACACCAAGUACGGCCAGGGACCCCGCAAGUUGUUCCUGGCUUUGGGUUUCCUGCUUCCCUGUGUGGUCAUCAUUGUUUCCUAUUCCUACAUCUUCUACAAGGCACGCCAGAGUUCGGUCAAGCUGCAGUCAAGAGGGUCCAGCCUAGUGAAAAACACGGACAACAGCAGCUCCGACACAAGGCCAACCCGUCCAAAAGAGGGCCUCAGGUCACGAGACAUCCGCAUCGCCAGGACUAUUGGCGUCAUCUUCCUGGCUUUCCUUCUCUGCUGCACCCCAGUGUCUGUUGUUCACUACCUCGAUAGUAAGUUUCACAUGCCGACGCUACUGCUGCUACUGCACCCGGUCUACUGGGCUCAGUACUGCAUCAAUAUCUUCAUCUACGUCUUCAUGAACAAGCAGUACCGUGACGCUUACGUCCACUAUAUCUCCAGAUGGUGGCCCAACUUCAAGGAGGUAGUAUCCCGUACAAAGUUCAAGUGGAAGGAGGAGCCUACGAGCGGGGACAGCCGUCGACAGUCCCGGGCCGCCACCCCCAGCAGUGGAUCAAGGUUCAACGUCCGUAAGUUCUCCAAGAACCUGAACCCAAAGAACAACACCUUGGACUCUAUGGAAUCUCAUCAUGGUCAACCCGGAACCCCGAAGAUAUUGACCAAGAGUGAAACACCAAACCUGGCCGACACUCGUCUCUAGUGCUGAGCCAGUGUUGCCACCACCACUUACUAUAGGUGUCCAGUGUUGCCACCACCACUUACUGUAGGUGUCCACUGUCCAGUGUUUCCACCACCACUUACUAUAGGUGUCCAGUGUUGCCACCACCACUUACUGUAGGUGUCCAGUGUUGCCACCACCACUUACUGUAGGUGUCCAGUGUUGCCACCACCACUUACUGUAGGUGUCCAGUGUUGCCACUACCACUUACUGUAGGUGUCCAGUGUUGCCACCACCACUUACUGUAAUGUCCAGGACACACGCCACUACACUACGACACACUUUAGACUUUAUCUGAGGCAGAUGUUUUAUAUCAUCGUAAAUUAGCGAGAAAAUUAAUAUAUUCAUAAUUGAGAAUCUAAGCCUGUGAUCUUUUUGAGCAAUUUAUACUUAAAAUGGAAAGAGUUUUAUAGAUAUAUUAUUGUUACAGUAUUAUUAGCAUCCAUAUUAUUACUUAAAUAUCCACUGCUUAUAGAAUAGUAUUAUUGGUCGUAAUUUCAUGUAAAUAAAUAAAUAUUUUAUGUAUUAAUCAUGUAUGUGGCAUCCGCAUUUUCAUCUACGGAAUAAUUAUCCACAAGAAUUUAAACCACCGCGUCUUCAUCCGCUCACUUUGAUGCAGUUUUUUUUUUAAUUUUGCGAAGGUGUUGUUUUAAUGCACCUAAAUGUAAACUUGACAAUAAUGUAGUUUACAGUAGGUGUAGGGAUAAACUACGUUAUGUAUUGUUUGUUUUAUGUAAAUAAUGUAAUUAUAAAUUCUAAUGUAAACAUUACAAAUAAUAGUUAACAGAAUUCAUGGAAACGCGAAGUGGACGAAAUAUUACUGGAACAAAGUGAGGAAAUCAUUCGCUGGAGAUCAUCUUGGGUUUGUGGUAAACAGGAUAUGUGUUACUGUGACGCUCAACAAGUACUAAUUCAUAAGAACAUAAGAAAAUAAGGAGUCUGCAAUAGGCCGGUUGGCCUGUGCAUGGCAGCUCCUGUCGAGAGUUACUACCACUCUCUAUCAUCCAUGAAUCUAUAUAGCCUCCUUUUGAAAC